GCGGGAGUAGCUCAGCGGUAGAGCAUCGCCUUGCCAAGGCGAGGGUCGCGGGUUCGAAUCCCGUCUCCCGCU
rnacentral:tRNA from 1 species